UUAUAGUUGGGGGUUAGUUGUAUUGGCUUCUCUCUACCGUGCGCUUGAUCACAAAAUAGACUUUAAUCAGGAUAAUAUUGAAUCUUACAUAUGAAUGUUAAUGCAGAAUUUUUCCUCAAGAGCUUGUCUUCCUCUGGGAGUCAUCCAUGGAUGUCUAGAUUGUAGUAAUUUCCAAAAGGUCUAUUUAUAAAAUAUACAUGAUUUAUUUCUGUUAGAAAUUAGUAUUAGCCUCAUUAUUGAUGAAUUAACUAUAAUUGCCUUCAUUCUCCUCUAUUACUUAAUGUCAAGGGUUCAAAGUAAUAUGAAGAGGAAAAGGAGAAGAUGCACCAGAAUGAGAGUGGAUAAUCGCACUAUUUGUUGCCCUUAUUAUAUGUUGUUCUGCUUACAUUUAAUUUUCUAUCACUUCCAGGUGCUUUAUGGAGCUGAUCUAGAAACUGGAAGCAUAUUGUUAUAGAGUUGUACCAAGACUUCUAUAUCACAUGAUAAUUUGUUGCUUGGGGCUGCAAGGGAAGAAGUACGAGCUCAAUGGGAGCUUAAUUUGCUGAAAAAGAAUACUUUGGAUAAUUUGCU
rnacentral:lncRNA from 1 species